GACGAAGGGGGCUAGCGUUGUUCGGAAUUACUGGGCGUAAAGCGAGUGUAGGUGGUUUUCCAAGUUGGAUGUGAAAGCCUUGAGCUCAACUCAAGAAAUGCAUUCAGGACUGGGAGACUAGAGGACCGGAGAGGAUAGUGGAAUUCCCAGUGUAGUGGUGAAAUACGUAGAGAUUGGGAAGAACACCAGUGGCGAAGGCGGCUAUCUGGACGGUUUCUGACACUAAGACUCGAAAGCGUGGGGAGCAAACAGG
rnacentral:rRNA from 1 species